rnacentral:tRNA from 5 species
GUCGAGGUGGUGGAAUGGUAGACACGCAGCGUUCAGAACGCUGUGCUCUUUGGAGCGUGCGAGUUCAAGUCUCGCUCUCGACACCA